CAGUAAACGAUGAAUGCUAGCUGUCCGGGGGGAUUGACCCUGGGUGGCACAGCGAAAGCGUUAAGCAUUCCACCUGGGGAGUACGCCGGCAACGGUGAAACUCAAAGGAAUUGACGGGGGCCCGCACAAGCGGAGGAACAUGUGGUUUAAUUCGAUGAUACGCGAGGAACCUUACCCGGGCUCAAACGCCGAAGGAACAUUCCCCGAAAGGGGAAUGGCCAGCAAUGGUCUUCGGCGAGGUGCUGCAUGGUUGUCGUCAGCUCGUGCCGUGAGGUGUCGGCUUAAGUGCCAUAACGAGCGCAACCCCCACCGACAGUUGCUAACUGGUCAAGCAGAGGACUCUGUCGGGACUGCCGGCGCAAGCUGCGAGAAAGGCGGGGAUGACGUCAAAUCAGCACGGCCCUUACGUCCGGGGCGACACACGUGUUACAAUGGCAGGUACAGCGGGAUGCCAUGGGGCGACCCAGAGCGGAACCCGAAAACCUGUCUCAGUUCGGAUUGGAGUCUGCAACCCGACUCCAUGAAGCUGGAUUCGCUAGUAAUCGCGCAUCAGCCACGGCGCGGUGAAUACGUUCCCGGGCCUUGUACACACCGCCCGUCAAGCCAUGGGAGCCGGGGGUGCCUGAAGGCCGUGACCGCGAGGAGCGGCCUAGGGUAAAACUGGUGACUGGGGCUAAGUCGUAACAAGGUAGCCGUAA
rnacentral:rRNA from 1 species